rnacentral:misc_RNA from 1 species
UACGGAAGGUGCGAGCGUUAAUCGGAAUAACUGGGUGUAAAGCGCGCGUAGGUGGUUGAGUCAGUCAGAUGUGAAAUCCCAGGGCUCAACCUUGGAAUUGCACCCGAUACUGGCAAGCUAGAGUACGGUAGAGGGUGGUGGAAUUCCCUGUGUAGCGGUGAAAUGCGUAGAUAUAGGAAGGAACACCAGUGGCGAAGGCGACCACCUGGACUGAUACUGACGCUCAGGGACGAAAGCUUGGGUAGCAAAAGGG